UACGUAGGGGGCAAGCGUUGUCCGGAUUUAUUGGGCGUAAAGAGCGUGUAGGCGGCCAAGCAGGUCCGCUGUGAAAACUCGAGGCUCAACCUCGAGACGUCGGUGGAAACCGUUUGGCUAGAGUCCGGAAGAGGAGAGUGGAAUUCCCGGUGUAGCGGUGAAAUGCGCAGAUAUCGGGAAGAACACCCGUGGCGAAGGCGGCUCUCUGGGACGGUACUGACGCUGAGACGCGAAAGCGUGGGGAGCGAACCGG
rnacentral:rRNA from 1 species